GACGUAGGGCGCGAGCGUUGUCCGGAUUUAUUGGGCGUAAAGAGCUCGUAGGCGGCUUGUUGCGUCGACCGUGAAAACCCGCGGCUCAACUGCGGGCUUGCGGUCGAUACGGGCGAGCUGGAGUUCGGUAGGGGAGACUGGAAUUCCUGGUGUAGCGGUGAAAUGCGCAGAUAUCAGGAGGAACACCGGUGGCGAAGGCGGGUCUCUGGGCCGAUACUGACGCUGAGGAGCGAAAGCAUGGGUAGCGAACAGG
rnacentral:rRNA from 1 species